AAUAGACUUCUCGAAUAAAUUGGCUUAUAAUUCUGUAUAGACUUAGUGUGAGCUGUUAUUACCACCAUAUUGUUCUUAUCUACUAAGUUUUCCACUUACCAUUACUCCGACCUCUGCUGUAAUUCGACCCACGAUAGAUGGAUAGAAAAAUAUAAGGUGGUGGAAAAAAAUUUCGCUCUAACAAAAUUAGAUCAAUCAAUUUCAGAUAACGUUAUUUAUUAUUUGGCAAAUUAUAUAUUUUUUAAAUGUGAAAUAAAAAUGUUAUUAUUGCAGGUUUAUGGUCGAAAAUUACCUGAGUGGUACACAUUUGUUGAAAGUACAUAUAAGGUUUUAUGGCUUGGUUGCAAGAUUUUGAAUAGGUAGGAGUAAGACGAGGAACAAUAGAAGGAUGGGUUACUGUUUAAGUUUAUUAUUGCAAAUACGCAAGGAAAAAGAUAACUUUGAAAUGACCAUAAACAUCAGACGAUUGUUGCAUUUUCACUAUUUAUAUAUGUUAAUAAAAAUAAUACAAUAAAACAAAUGAUUAUGACAGUUCAA